CUCAAACAAAUAUAGAAAUAUCCCACAAGAAAUUAAUACCGGAAAGCCGAAUAAAUAAAUAAAAAGCAGCAGCAGAAGACGAUGAGAGAAUAAAGCACACUGGAUUUUAUUAAUACAUAAUUCAUACAAGUAAUGUAAAUACGAAAUAUUCAUAAUUCAUGUAAUAAUACUGACAAUUCCUUCGAGCCCACCAUUUUCAGUGUAAAAUAUCUGAAAUAGUGGAGGAAAAGGCAGAGAUCUUCAGAGCCAACAAUAAAAAAGCUCUGAUCUGAUAAAACAAACAGCAAUACUUAAUACUUAUUAAUAAGUUCAGAUAUGUUUAUAAUCUACACAACAUACACAGUACAAUACUGAAAUGGAAAGAGAAGAUUCGUGCCCAAUUCACUGAAGACGAUGAGUAAUUUUCAUGCCUGAUCCGGGGACCCAUCGGAAGUGUAAGCGGUCAGGGGGGAACUGGAGGGGUCACUGGUGGCACCGCCGUUGACGGAGCCGCCGCCGCCCUUGAUUUUAGCCAGUACUUGUUCUGCCUUCGAGGUGACAGUCUCGACCAAGCUCUCGAAAAUUUGAGCUUUGAUUUGACCCCUCUUUGGAGGAAGGCUGGUAGCUUGUUUUCUAGGAUUAGAAGCCAUUGAAUUAAUUGAAGAAGAUGUGUUGUGUCGCGAUGAGUGAUGAAAUUUUAAGAAAAUAUAUGAAAAGAAAAUUCUGCAAAGGGUCUGAGAGAGAACGCCGGCCGCCUUGCGUGGCGGUGGAGGCCUUAGAGCGAGUGUAUGCAAAUAAAGGAGCAGGACACGGUGCGUUUAUAUAGGAGAAAAA
rnacentral:lncRNA from 1 species